CACACAACAAAAGUAAUGGGCCAAGAGCUUUGAGCCCACAAUACAUGAAACCAAUAUGGAAGAAGGGGAUCAGAUGAACAUUUUAUGUUUCUCAUCCAUUUCACGUUCAUGAGCCUUAACCUCACAUGAGCCAAAACCUCGUCGCGUAGGAAAUCGCCUCUGGCGGUGUAGGUCCAAUCACCUUCAAACCUAUCUCAUUCUACUCGUUCAUACUCCCUCUCUCACAGUCCCAUGCUAAUUUUCUUCAAUUCCUAACUGUGAUUCCAAAUUGAACAGAAACCCUUAUGAACCCUAAAAAUGAAAUAAAAAAUUAAAUGGCGAAGGCGAGCUAAACGGAGUCCAAAACUUAGAGUUUUGGCUCCUUAGGGAGUAAGCUCUAUCUCAGCAAUUGUUUUAGCGUGAAUCAUAGAAGGAAUGAGGGAGAGCUUACCUGGCGAAGCAACUCUGACAGUUCUUCAAGUGUGGGUGUUGAGAACAAGAGGUCCAUAGGUCUUCUUCCUCUUUAAGUGAUUCUUCAUUAUGUUUUUUGGAUUUAUGUGUGAAAUUCUUCUCUUUUUCUACUCUUAGUCCAUAGGAGUUGCUUCCUUUUGCUUUGUGUUGUUGUGGUUGCCCUAUUCUUAAGAGAAAGUAGAGUAUGGAGAGGUUGAAGAGAAUUCAGGGAGAAUUCUCAGAGAAUGGGAGAGCGUUUAGAGAGUGGAUUGAGAGUAAUCUUGCAGAGAUAGAAUUGAGAGUAGUAAAGCGUGGUGAUUGUGAUCUCUUCUUUGAUUGUUUGAAGAGAUGAAUUGAUUUAUAAGAGUUUGGAUGUAACUAACUUGGGCAAGUUCGGGAAAUUCUAUUAACAUGGUCAGGGCAGGGUUAAGUUAAAGUUCAAGGAGGAGGAAAGUUAGUUAGGAAUUUAAUUCUGUUAAAAUUAUGUUAGGAACUGUUAAUUGAAAUUAGUUAGUGACUUUGAGUUGCAGUUAGUUAUCUCAAUUUGAAUUUUAGUUGAAUUUGAAUGUUAGUAUGAGUAUUGGUGAUGCGUUAAUUAUUAUUUAUGGAUGGAAGGUUGUUAUCUCUAUUGUUAAUUCCUUAUGUAAUUAACAAGAAGAAAACUAGUGAACUAAAGGGAUUAGUUAGAUUUUGUUGCUCUAAACUAUUGAUGUUAAACUGUUAGUAUGAAUUAGCUCGUAAAUAUUUGAGUGAUGAUGUUAGUAUGUGUUGCACUAACAGUUAGUGAAUGGGAAAUGUUAGCUAGGGAAACUUGAAUUAGGUUUAGUUAGUUAUGAAUCAGUCAGUGAAUUGCAGUUGGUUAGUAAGUUAGUUGUGUUGGAAAAUUGGAAGUUAGUGUAAUAUUGAAGUUAGUUAGUUAGAUUAUGGAAUGGUGAAGAAGGUUAGUUAGUGAGAAUGGAACUGCGAACUAGGUUAGUUAGUUACAACUUUCACUUUCAGUUAGAUGUUGAACUGUUAUUGAAUUAGUGUUAUAAUGAAUUGAUCAUGUUAAAAGAAUGGAAUUAUUAUGCUAAACUAGUUUUGAAAUCUUUGGAUGCAUUGUUUUAUAAGGUCUUGGUUUUUCUCAUUGCGAUGUGGUUUUGCAUGAUUAUUGAGGUCAAGACUUGACAUUUGUUAGUGGGGCAUGGAACAUAACAUUCAUGUCUCAAGGUUCUUUCGUGGGAUACUCAGAAGCUUUAAAGUAACACAAAGAUAUAUGAUGACUUGUAAAUGAAGAAAGAUGUGCUUAGUAUUUAUAAGUAGUGGUUGACUUUGGUAAACUGUUUGACUAAAAAGUCAAUGAUGACAGUUCGUCAUUGCAUAUAUUUAGUCGAAGAAUUAUAGCAAAUAUGAAGAAGAAUUACCCAGGAGUGAGGGGAAAAUUCUAAGUGUGCAAAUUGUGGACUUAGUGAAAAUUUAAGUGAAAAAGGAGCAAAAGCGCCCAACCACUGGAAUAAUUACGUGCAACAUCGCGCACACAAUAAGGCAUUUAAAGUUGCAUCACACGCGCGAUGAUCACUUUUAUUGGCUUUUUCUGACACGUUCUGGUCCAUUCCAACACCAUUAAAAGAUGAUUUUCUGCACUUUCACAAGAGUUUUGAUUUUGGGAGAUUGAAGCACGAUUUUGAGAGCAAAAAUGGUGAUUUUUAGAGCAUUUUAAGCCAUUGGAGACCAUCACUUUAAGGGACUUCUUAUGUUAUUUUCUUCUAUCAAUUGUGGUAUUGUUAAUUGCAAUAUGAGUAGCUAAGCUCCUCUAAGUUAGGUUGUGUUAUGAUGAACUUAUUUCUAUAUUGUUGGAUUCUAUGUUGAUUUGACCAUUAUAUGAACCUAUUGGUCUAUAAUCUUAUUAAGUUGCUUCUUGUUCAUAAUGUUUUUUAUGUGAGAUACUAUUUUAAUAUAAUUUUGG
rnacentral:lncRNA from 1 species